rnacentral:lncRNA from 1 species
UUGUUACUUUGAUGGUUUUAACAUUCCUGUUAUAUAGUUUGUGUCCAAUAUUCUGUUCUCUCCAGUUUUUAGAAGUUAAAUUCCACUUUUUAUUAUGUCUGCUGACUCUUUCUGGUGAUGGGGCAUCUUCUUGUGUGGUUUAAAUUUGGGGGUAAGAUCUCAUGUUUUUCUAUUGCCAUCUGUUCAGGCCAGGCUGAGGGUAUGUCCCUUCAGAAGCCAGCAGAGAAAUAACUGUCAGGAAUCAUUUGUGUGUUCACUUCUUUGCUUAGAAAUUCCUGGACCUGGGGCACCUCAGUGGCUGAGCAGUUGAGUGUCUGCCUUUGGCUCAGGUCAUGAUCCCAGGGUCCUGAGAUCAAACUCCAUGUCAGGGUCCCUGCUCUGUGGGGUGUCUGCCUCUCCCUCUGCCCCUCCCCCUGCUUGGGCUCUCUCUCUCUUUCAUUCUCUCUCUCAAAUAAUAAAAUCUUAAAAAAAAAAAAGAAUGGUCAAAAGAAAUGUAUCAGUUGAGAAUAACUUCAUUUACAAAUAGUAGUUCUAAUAAUAAGGCCAUUUAAGUUUCUCCUGCAAGACACACGACAGUAGACAGUCCUGAGCUGGCACAGCACUUUAGGGGUACCAGACAGGACGAAGGAUAUUUCCAGAGUUCUACUCUGCCAUACUUCACAAGUUGGCUUUCUGUACUCACAUGUUUCCUCACAGCUCAAGGUGGCUACUGCACCUCCCAAGUAUAACGUCUGCAUUAAAAGCAGGGAGAGGGACUCUUGGGUGGCUUAGUCGGUUAAGUGUCUGACUCUUGGUGUCUGCUCAGGUCAUGAUAUCAGAGUCAUGGGAUCAGGCCCCACAUCAGGCCCCACAUUCAGCAAAGCAUCUGCUUAAGGCUCUCUCCCUCUCCCUGUGCCACUCCCCCUACUCCUUCUAAAAUAAGUCAAUAAAUCUUUUUAAAAAUAAUAAAAAAUAAAAGCAGGGAGAAUACUAGAGAGGGAAGAGGGUACUUUCAGUAUUUGUCUUUUAUCAGAGAAGCAACAGCUUCCCCCACAUGGCACUUGCAUACUUCUCAGAUUCCACUGCCAGCAUAUAAUCAUAGGACUAAGUCUAGAUGUAAGAGAGACAGAGAAACAGAGGGAACUGGGGCUGUUCAGGAUUGGCUCAGAACAAUUAGGGUUUGUUCCUGGGACUGUGCAAAUUUGCACCACUCGUGAAACUGAAGUUAUUAGGAAAGGCAGAGCACAGCUGUUCUAAAGGCUACUAGUGGCUCCUACCCUAGGGUCUUUAUAUCUUUCUUUUAUUAUCCAAAAUACGUUUCUUCAGAUUUCACAGGAACAUGCUCUCUCAGGGAUCCUUGUCAUUUGAGGAUGUGGCUGUGUACUUCACACAGGAGUAGUAGCUCCUGGACUCUGCUCAGAAGAAUUUGUACACAUAUUCAUGUGUGGAGCCACUGCCCAGUCACUCAUCUUUCAUGUUUGUUUACUGAAAACUGGGACCUUUGAAGUGUGUGACAACGUAGGGCUUUCGUUUAAGAAUUUAAAAAUUCAAAAAAAAAAAAAAAGAAUUUAAAAAUUCGGGGACACCUUGGUGGCUCUGGGGUUGAGUGUCUGCCAUCGGCUCAGGGCGUGAUCCUGGAGUCCUGGGAUCAAAUCCCACAUUAGGCUCCCUGCAUGGAGCCCGCUUCUCCCUCUGCCUGUAUCUCUGC